UUUUUUUUUUUUUUUUUUUUUUUUUUUUCUGGCCACACCUGUGGCAUGAGAAAGUUCCUUUGCCAGGGGUUGAACUUGCACCAUAGCAGCAACCCAAGCCACUUCAGUGACAAUGCCAGAUCCUUAACCUCCUGUGCUGCAGGAGAACUCCUUGACUUUUGUUUAACAUCAGGAAAUUAGAUGUUAAGGUUAUAUUAUCUAGAUGCCAAAUAAGCAAAUUUGACUCUUGAAUCAAAGGCCUUAGUCAUUUUGGGUUAAAAAACUAACCCAUGCUGGAAGUGUUAUCAAGUAUUGCUAAUCCAAAGAGAAGAGUAAUAAAACAAUGUUUAUUUGCUGGACACUGGAGGUGACACUUUUGCAGGGAAGUGAUCUUUCUAUGCCAUUCUAAUCUCCCUUGAUAAAGCACAAUGGAACUAAGCUGAUGUUAAUGGUACAGGGAAAAAAAUCCUUUGUAGAUAAAACAUAAAUAAAUAAAUUCAUUCAUGGAACAUAGGGGUGGAAAUGGAGGUGGAUGUUGCUGAGGAAAUGAUGACCUUACUGUUAAUUUUUCCUGUUUGACCAAAAAGGAGUAAAUUACACCAGAAUAAGGACUUUGGCUCUUUUUACAAGAGCAUGGUUUUGCUCCAUUAUAAAGUUAUUUAGAAAACUAAACGCUUGUAAGAAUCUUUCUUCUUAGAAGAAUUGUAUUCAUAGAAUAAGUGAAGUCUACUUUGAUUUCCAACUCACCCACUCCCUUUUUUCUCAGAUAUUUAUCAAGUAAUGUGGUUUAUAAUCCAAACAUUAAAAAGUGCCUUAACCCAGAACAUACACAUGAGCACAAUAACACUAGACUGAUGAUGUUUGUACUUUAUAAAACACUGAGAUCUUCUCUAAAACAGAGUGGUUUGAGAACAUAAGGUCUAGAGUGUAAAGAAUUGUAACGGAAUGAUAAACAUAUCUGUGAUUCUAUCGAGCCAUAGAAUCAGAGACAGCACAUUCCUGGCUAUCCUUUGGCCAAAGCUUACUAGGGAACCUGACCCUAUUCCCUUAAGCAGAGGUCUGCCUCAGGAUGUUCAUAUGCUUCACUAUGUGGGAUAAGCAAGUUGACAUUUAGACAUAACUGAGGCCAACCUGGAAUUUGGCUCUUAUCCUUUCCUUCAUGAGCCAUUGUAGACAGGCUUUUGGGGGGAGGGGGCUAAAUUCUCAUGGCAGUCUCUUAAGAAGCUGGGAUCAUAAAACAAAAUAGGCUUAAUAGAUGACUGUUAAGAUAAACCAGCUUCACUUUGUGUAACUGCUAGUCUUAUUUCUUGGAAUAUUAGGGUGUGCUUAGUAUAUUUUUGUUCUAGAAUUUGAAUGUUCUUGCUAAGAUAGUCAUAUCACAAUGAUGCCAAACUGAAUCACCCAAAAUGAAUCUGCUUUGACCUCAGUGACUUUAAAAUCUCUCUUUUAAUCAAGGCUUCCUGACUCUCUCUUGAGGGCUUAUCAGAAGAACUCUUUAUUUUGUCUAACAUCUAGCAGUGAAGAUUAGUUGGGCUUAUGUGUGAAGUUAGUCAAGAUUUUUUAAAGGCAGAGGAGAAAAUUAAAAUUGGAAAUGAAAUGGUACUUUGCUUGGGCUUUAACAGACUGCCCACAUAUUGUCGGACUGCCCAUGUAUUGUAUCUAAGGAGUACAUUUGUGAAAUGGAUCAUGAUGGUCAGAGCUGGUAUUGGUGAGCUUAAAAAUCUGUAAAGGCUCUUUUAUAUUUUGUUUGUUUAUAAAUCAUGGACUGGAAUAUCUUCACAAGUCUGAGUGCUUCCAGCACAAAUAGCAAACUUUUUGCAUUAUUUUUCUAUAGUUUUUACUUGUUGGGAGUCAAUUCGCCUUAGAAGUCUUGCAUUUCUGUGUAUCUUAUUAAGGAGGCACUGACACCCUGUAUCCUAGACUGUCUUGGUGGAUGGGUGAGCAUCCUUGGUAGAGAGAGGGUCUCUACUUCCUCUCCCUCCUCCAAAGCAGAAAAACACCAUUAGCAGAGUUCCCAUCGUAGCUUAGUGGUAACAAACCUGACUGUUAUCCAUGAGGAUGUGGGUUUGAUCCCUGGCUUUGCUCAGUGAGUUAAGGAUCUGGCAUUGCCGUGAGCUGUGGUGUAGGUCGCAGAUGAGGCUCAGAUCUGGCGUUGCUGUGGCUGUGGUGUAGGCUGGCAGCUGCAGCUCCAAUUCAACCCCUAGCCUGAAACUUCCAUAUGCCCCAAGAGUGGCAAAAAAGAAAAGGAAAAAGAAACACCAUCAGCAAACUACUCUCAUCAAAACUGAACACCUGAGCCAUCCAACCUCAUACUUCCAAUGUGGAGUGGAUCAAAUAGACUCACGAUUACCAAGAUGAGAAGAACCCAACAAGCCUCACUUGUCAGAUGGAACUAGUAUAUUCAAGAAUGCAGCUGGCUUAGACUUUGUUGCAUCUUGGAUUUACAUAAAAAAAUGGCUGCUAUCCAUGAAGGGAAAAUUGAUCCCCCAUUCCACUGCCUGAAAUGAAGGGAAUGGCUCAGUGGUGUCUUUGAUUUAUAAAGGUUUCAUUUGGGAGGGUUUAAAAAUACAUUUAAGUUAUAAUCAGGAGAUUCCCCUAAAAGCCUGCUGCUUCUUUCACCGAUGGAUUGGCCAAACCAAAACCCCAUGGUGUUCAAUGAGCUGCUAUGGCUGCCUCAGUCUCAGCACCAGGUACACUGACCUGAAAAUGCAUGUGGUUGAUCUGAUCCAUGGGCAGAACUCAAAGCUGUUUUUGUUACUUCAGCCAGUACCCUCUGUGCUGAGCCUUGUUAUGUUUUUCUAACUCAGGCUGUUGCUAACGACCUGCAGUUUGGUCUGUCCCUUGGAAAACUACAAAUUGGCAGGUUAAAGACACACUUCCUUAGGGGCUACAAACAGUGGAAACAGAUUGUGGCUGCUGACAGAGCUGUCUGGGUCAUUCCCUGAUGAGACCGACUAGAAUGAAGAUGUUGGCUAGGUCAGCAGCACCCAGAUUGCCAUGACUGUCCUGCACAGGGCAGCACAUCCACCAGUGUAUGGCUAGGACACAAAGUAAAGGACUGUGUUUCUGAUGCAGAGCUACCAUUUGGUGCCAGACUUGAGACUCCUGCCAAAAGUAGACCUGAUUGCUUUGCGGUAAAGGAGACCACAUCGCACAGAGUGUUGGCCAGCCUACUUCUGGCAGACGAUUAUUUCAGAUCUUUGCCCCCACUCUCAGAGCUGUUGGUUGUAUGUCACUGCUGUUGGCACUUUCUCAGGUUACAGUGUUACUGUUCCAGUCUGAUUAGUUGACUUCAGCCACACCACUUUGGAACUAAUCGGUGUCACGUGUUUGGCUUUCUGGACCAUUUGGUAUGACAAUGGUAUUAUACCUUUUAUUGCAAAAGCCACUCAACCAUGGGCUGAUAGUCAAGGUAUUUGAUAGACUUUCCAUGCUUCCUACCAUCCACAGGCAUCUGGAAUUUUUGAGCUUUGGAAAUUUUCUCUACAUUGUUCGGUGUUUUCUCUGGCAGUCAUUUAUCAAGCCUUCUCAGAAAGGCUUAGUACAUCACUCCAGAGUUAGCUCCGAAUAGUGCAGUAUUUUGUCCUCUGUCUGACACCUAAGCCUUGUAAUUGGUGGGUUUCAAUUCAGAGACAGUUUGUGAUCAAUAGCUUGAGCCUCAGGCUGGGAAACCAGUACCGAAGAGGGAGCUGUGACUGUUUUGUCCAAAAUAAGACUCCUCUACCUGGUAUGCUUUAUUCAUUUUGAAGCAGGAAAACCAGUAUUUUCAGCUGAUUUCUCUUUAAUUUUUCUUCUCUUUCCAUCUUCCUCCCGAUCCCCCCCAAAAUGUAAUUUUUAUUCCUAUUUUGUUUUAAUGGUAACUGCUAUUCCCUGUACAGAUAGGUGUGCUAUAGUUCUUUUCCUGUUAUACCUGUUCUAAGGCUUGCCUGCUGGUGAUUGGUUGAUGCAAAGGCAUAGAAAGAUCAUGGUGUGAAGGGGAAUUAUGUACAAUUUAGAAUCACUUAAGGGUGGUGUGUGACCUGGGAAUCAACAAAGGAAGAGAGAUUAUGGCAGGGCUUUCUGCCCCCGGCCCCCACCCAGGAUUUUCAGUGGGAAGUGGAUAUUAUCAGGCUUGGUCUAUCACCAUCAUUCCAGUGAUAGUGGCUUAGAAUGGAGGGAGAUAGACUAGAAUCUGGAAUGCUAGUCAGAAGGUUGCUGCAGUCAUCCAUCCAGGUUAGAGAUGUAAUGAUCUUAACUAGAGCAGUAGUAGUAAGGAUUGAAUGUAGGAUAUUUGGAAGAUGAAAUGAGCAGGUGCUAGCAAUUGAUUGGACACAGGGAUGAGUGAUGAGUGAUGUCCAGAGUUCCAACUGGGUGACUGGGUGGAUGGCAGGACACAAGCCGGAAGGUGGAAAAAGCAAGUAUUUAAGAUUGGACAUCUUGGAAAUGAGAAGCCUAUGAAACAGGCACAGAGAACUGCACAGCAGGCUGUUGAGUAUUCAAGACCAACAGCUGGACAACGAUUGCAUAUGUGACCUGCAUGAGACAAGAGCUACUCUACAGCUCUAAGGUUCAUUCUGUUGCAUUGUCGCCCUGAAUGAUAUGUAUGUUUAGCAAAGAGAAUUGGCAUGACCCAGUACCCAUGAGACUGGAUCAGGCAAUUCAAAAAUUAUUUCAGUAAGAUUAUACUCGUAUUACUAAUGAGAUGAAGUCACUGCAUUACACUGUACUGGAAGCUGCAGAGAACAACACUGGCUUUGGGGUGAUGUGCUUCUACCCAUGCACAUAGAUAGGUGCAUGCAUUCCAUUUGUUGUUGUAACUCAUCAUAGAGUUAGAACUUAAAAAAAUGAUGAGCUGUUGUUAGUUUCUUGCAUGACCAGCCUGCUAAAGAAACACACAGGCCACCACUGUUUGGACUUUGGAUGUAGAAAAGGAAAAACUCAGGUUUUUUGUUUUUGUUUUUGUUUUUUUCACUCUAAUCCUUCUCUUUUAAAAUUAAAAAUACUUCUUUCUCUUUUUAAAAUAACUCUGUAAUAGCUUUGGGGAAGCAACAUAGAAUUUACAAAGUAGGCCAAAAAUGGGGAAAUUUUUAAUUAGAUUGGGGGUUUUGAUUUUUUCACUUACUAAAAACUGUUGGACCCAAAUCCCAAUAUCUCUCUACCAUCUUUUUAUUUAUUCUUAUGCAUUUGGCAGACUUCAGGACAAAACCUCUUCCCAGCUGGGCCAAAAAUCUUUUCUGAAGCUCCUACUAAUUUGGAUUAAACUGACUACUUGAAAGCUUCACACAGAAAUCCUGCCAGGAAAUGUCAUGAGGUCCCUUGACAGUUAAUUCUACAAACAGUCAUCUUUUGGAGCAAAAUAGACAAAAGUUUAUUUAAAAAUUUUUGUCUUUGUUAGCUUGCUUGCUUUCUUAGUUUUGGAGAAACAGAUCAAGAACCUAAAAAUGACAGAACUUUGUUUUUGCCUCCAGUUUGGCUUUCUGAACCCAAAGAGAGGAAUUUGCACGAUGCAAAGUGGGUUCCUAAGGAAGAAGGGCAAGAUGAGUGCCGUGAAAUGAGUGAGGCUUCUAUGGGAGGCCAUGAUGUGUAUCUACGAGCUGUGACUGGUCCAGGAGACCCAGCCCUCAGCAGGUGCCACAGAACCCAGAGCUAGACUUGGAAGCCUAUCAAGUUGAUCUCUGUAUACUUUGCUGCCGUUCUCAACAAUGAAAAAGACACAGCCCCAUCCUCUAUGAGCUUAUAGUCGCAUGGGCUACAGAUGGUAGUAAACAGAGUGCUGACGGUGUGGGCCUGCAGAAGAGCAAGCUGAUGAAAAUAAAGACUGAGUUGCCAGCUCGUAUGUGUCCUUAUUUCCAAGGACAAACACAAACCCUGUCUCCGGGAGCUGCUUCUCUAUUCCAAGACAAAUGAGCUGUUGAAGUGUCAUGAUUUUGAAAUCCUAGCAAUAUACAUAAAGGAUAUUUUACUGAUCAACCUCAAGGAAUUUGUCAUAAAUAAAAAAUGUUUUGUGAUUCAAA
rnacentral:lncRNA from 1 species